UUCCGGUUGAUCCCGCCGGAGGCCAUCGCUAUCGGGGUCCGACUUAGCCAUGCUAGUCGCACGGGUUCAGACCCGUGGCGAACAGCUCAGUAACACGUGGCCAAACUACCCUAUGGACGCGGACACCCUCGGGAAACUGAGGCUAAUCCGCGAUACGGCUUCCACGCUGGAAUGCGGGGAGCCGGAAACGCUCCGGCGCCAUAGGAUGUGGCUGCGGCCGAUUAGGUAGACGGUGGGGUAACGGCCCACCGUGCCCAUAAUCGGUACGGGAUGUGAGAGCAAAUAGCCCGGAGAUGGAAUCUGAGACAAGAUUCCAGGCCCUACGGGGCGCAGCAGGCGCGAAACCUUUACACUGCACGCAAGUGCGAUAAGGGGACCCCGAGUGCGAGGGCAUACAGUCCUCGCUUUUGUACACCGUAAGGAGGUGUACGAAUAAGGGCUGGGCAAGACCGGUGCCAGCCGCCGCGGUAAUACCGGCAGCCCGAGUGAUGGCCGCUAUUAUUGGGCCUAAAGCGUCCGUAGCCGGCCGGACAAGUCCGUCGGGAAAUCCGCACGCUCAACGUGCGGGCGUCCGGCGGAAACUGUCCGGCUUGGGGCCGGAAGAUCCGAGGGGUACGUCCGGGGUAGGAGUGAAAUCCCGUAAUCCUGGACGGACCGCCGGUGGCGAAAGCGCCUCGGAAGGACGGACCCGACGGUGAGGGACGAAAGCUAGGGUCUCGAACCUGAUUAGAUACCCGGGUAGUCCUAGCCGUAAACGAUGCUCGCUAGGUGUGGCACAGGCUACGAGCCUGUGCUGUGCCGUAGGGAAGCCGUGAAGCGAGCCGCCUGGGAAGUACGUCCGCAAGGAUGAAACUUAAAGGAAUUGGCGGGGGAACACUACAACCGGAGGAGCCUGCGGUUCAAUUGGAGUCAACGCCGGG
rnacentral:rRNA from 1 species